rnacentral:rRNA from 1 species
AUACGUAGGGUGCAAGCGUUAAUCGGAAUUACUGGGCGUAAAGCGUGCGCAGGCGGGUUUGUAAGACAGGGGUGAAAUCCCCGGGCUCAACCUGGGAACUGCCCUUGGGGCCGCAAGGCUUGAGUGCGGCAGAGGGGGAUGGAAUUCCGCGUGUAGCAGUGAAAUGCGUAGAUAUGCGGAGGAACACCGAUGGCGAAGGCAAUCCCCUGGGCCUGCACUGACGCUCAUGCACGAAAGCGUGGGGAGCAAACAGGAUUAGAUACCCUGGUAGUCCACGCCCUAAACGAUGUCAACUGGUUGUUGGGGAUUUAUUUUCUCAGUAACGAAGCUAACGCGUGAAGUUGACCGCCUGGGGAGUACGGC